AUUAAGUUUUAUUUAAUAUAGGAUCUGCUCAAUGAAAUAUUUAAAUAGCUGCAGUAUUUUGACUGUGCAAAGGUAGCAUAAUAAUUAGUCUUUUAAUUGGGGACUUGAAUGAAAGAUUUGAUGAGAAAUAAACUUUAUUAUUUACAUAAUUAAAAUUUUAUUUUUAAGUAAAAAAGCUUAAAUAUUUUAAAGGGACGAUAAGACCCUAUAAAACUUUAUAGAUUUAAAUUUUUAAUUUUUUUUUGGUUUAAUAAAUAUUUAAAUAAUUAAAUUUAUUUUAUUGGGGUGAUAAAAAAAAAUAAUUAACUUUUUUUAAAUUUUUACAUUAUUUAAUGGGUUUUUGAAUUAAAAUUUUUAAUUAUAAGAAAAAGUUACUUUAGGGAUAACAGCGUAAUUAGUUUUUUAAGUUCAAAUUUGAAAAUUAGUUUGCGACCUCGAUGUUGAAUUAGGAGUAAUAUUAGGUGCAAAAUUUUAAAUAUUGGGUCUGUUCGACCUUUAAUCUCCUACGUGA
rnacentral:rRNA from 1 species